UACGUAGGGGGCAAGCGUUGUCCGGAUUUAUUGGGCGUAAAGAGCGUGUAGGCGGCCAGACAGGUCCGUUGUGAAAACUCGAGGCUCAACCUCGAGAUGUCGAUGGAAACCGUCUGGCUAGAGUCCGGAAGAGGAGUGUGGAAUUCCUGGUGUAGCGGUGAAAUGCGUAGAUAUCAGGAAGAACACCGGUGGCGAAAGCGCUCUGCUAGGCCGCAACUGACACUGAGGGACGAAAGCUAGGGGAGCGAAUGGG
rnacentral:rRNA from 1 species